rnacentral:precursor_RNA from 14 species
CCGUAGAAAUCACUCGGGCUCUGAGCUGCUCAUCACUAGAUCUUGCUGAUAUCCUUGUGAAGCUCAGAUGCAGCAUGAUGUAGUGGUGUGCAGUGGAGUCAACGAAUACCAACCCAACAG